UAACAGAAGAAUCCCGUAUGUAAGUUUACAACUUACCGCCUAAAUCUCAGCCAUUCUGUU
rnacentral:tRNA from 1 species